GAGGUUCACAGGUGCUGCUCCAUAACUAAACUGUGGAGCUCCUGUUUUAAUAUCUCCUAUGGUGACUUGAACAUCAUCUUCAUCAUCAUCGCUAUCACUAUCACUGUCAUCCUCAGCCUCAGUCACCUUCGUUUUCACAACGCCAUUUUCUGCAGCCUCCUCUUCAUUUCCAGGUGGGGGUGGAGCACUAGUUUUUUCUUCUUCUGGUCUCUCUGCUUCAUUUUCAUCGCCGUAGAGCCACUCCUCCUCCUCGUCCCCGGCGGCCCCGCCGAGGUCCGUGGACAGCCGCUCCACCUCGCCGGUAGACAUGGCCGCCUCCCGCGGGACGCCAGCGCCCGGACCGGGCUCCGCGGCCUCUUCCCCGCUCGGCGGCCCCACCUCUCCGGGCCUCCGCGGGUACCCCGGGCGGCAGACGGGCAGCGCGAUGACCACCAGGCCCUGCCCCGCCGACCCGCUCUCGGAGGAACCGCCGCCGCCUGCUCGGCGCUUCCCCUCCCCCGCCGAGUGAGUGACACGCACAGGAAGCGGGCCCGGCCCGGCCCCGCGGCGCCCUGGGCACGGGCAUGCGGGGGGCGGCCCGGCGGCGCCCGGCCGCGCGGGGCCGGGACGGGGCCGACUCAGCACCCAACCCAGGGACCGCCUUCCGAGCCGUGCUCGGCCGGCCGCUCCUCUCCAGCCCCAAGCUCACCUGGGCUCUGCCGGCCCGACAGCCGCCCUCCGUGCCCCGGGCUGCCCCUCGCUUCUCCGCGUCCGUGCGCCUCUGCAUCCCCAGAUGCCCGGCUGUCCCACCGGCACGCAGAGUGCGGUCCUCUUCAGGGACAUCUUCAGAAGAAGGACUCGGCCGAGCAUCCAUGCAGCCCAGCAUCCCGCUUCUACUGGCGGCUGAAGGCAGCUGCCGGGGGAGCGUAACCGCAGCGCUGCCUGUGCUGUGCGCUGCCCCGGCGCUCGGCUCAGGGGCUCUCUCAGCUGGAGGCAGUGUUUUAGGCUGAGCAGCGGGAAGUUGCGAGUCAUUUUUAUUGAUGUUCUCGCUUCUCGGCUGUGAAGGCUGCUUAACGACAGCAAGAUUCCUUAUAAAAUUUAAGUACCAACAUCUGUGAAAACAAGUUUUGACCACUUGUGUGUACACACGGAGCAUUCAACACCUUGAGGUGGCUGUGAAGAGUGGAAAAAAAAGGCCCUUUUUCACAGCGGGACAGCCUGUGAAAAAUAGAAGAGAGGGCUCAACUGUGUCAUAAGCAUUCCACAGCUCGGGGUGGGGCAGCCUGUUCUUCAAAUUGUCUGCACUGAGACAACAGAGAAGCAUUUGGAAGUUGUGUACAGGUCAUGCAAUAUAUGGUGUAAUUGGAUAGAUGUCCACAAAGGUGUUUUUGGCAGUAAGUAAAUAAAAUUGUAGACACUUGUUUAUCGUAAAGUGAGUUUGUAUCGCAGUAUCUCUUCUUGGACAUCAGCGUUGUUCUGUUUUCAUCCCUGUUUUGUUUACUCAGCCUUUUAACACACUUCUAUUGCUGGCCCUGUGUUAAAGGAAGCAGGUAGAAUUCUUUGUAUUUUUGUUCCUUUGAUUAUGCAGAUUGAAAAAGAAAAGAAAAACAUGGAAGAGAAAUCAGGAAGAGGUGCAGAACAUAAAAUCUCUUUAACAGGAAAAUAGAGCUUCUCAGUACAAUAUUACUCAUAGGAGGCCUUUAAAUGGACAUCACAUGGAGCUAUUUGUCAAGCAAAAAUCUGUCUGAAAAAAAUCAUCCCAACCAGCUUGACCAGUGGAAGCUGCACUACAAUACCAAGUCCUGACAACUGCUGCCAGCCCUCCUCCACUCCCACGAAUUUCUUUGGCUGCCUUUGGCUAUGGUUGGGCAAAAGGGAUCUCUGCCUACUUCCUGCGUUGCUUCUAAGGACAAAGUGCCAGGCUGGAUGUCCUUCUAACUUCUGCCCUAUGUGGUAAAAGCUCCCGUCAGUCUCAGCCUUUGGAAGGAACCUUGCCGUUUCUCCUUACUGCUGCACAGCAGAGCAGCAGUUGGGGCCUAAAACAAGGCUUCUCCCCAGGACCCACGUAGUUUGAGGACAGUUUGAGGACAGAAGAAAGCCUCUGUGAGCUGCACAAACAUCUUGACUCACUGGUUAUAUACCAGAAACUCAUAACAAGACUUCAAGUUCACAGGAAGCUGUUAAAACAGAUUUAUUUUUUUCUAUUACAGGUGUAAAUUUGAACAUGUGAUAAAAUAAGCCAUUAAACUACAUACAUACAUUUGUUUUGCAACUUAGCCACUGUGCUUUAUGCUUAUUAAUUUCAUUUUGUCUUCUGGGCAGUAAUCUUUCUCUUAACAUAUGCAGAACUUGUACAGUACUUUUAAAGUUAAAAAAGCUAUUUAUUUUCUUAAAAGAGUUUUUUUUUUUUUUGACAAUAUAACUGAAGAUAUUUAGACUUAAGAAAUAAUAUAAUAACUCCAAAGAGUUGUACAAGCCAAGAAUAUUGAGCUUUCAUCUGUAGCACUCAGGCAUGAAAUGAAUGCUCAGAGAUGCAUCAUCUCUAAGAUCAUUCAGUCUGGGAGGAGGGUGAUUCUGCUUGUGUAUAAACCCAGGGGUGUGGUGGUUAUCCAUCCCCAGUCCCUUCUUAGCAAUCAUUUUUCAAAUCCAAAUAGUCCAGAAAUCUAUUAGCUUACAUAUUUUUAGCAUAAUGAAGUUGUAUGGCCUAACUGGGUUUGGAACAGCCUAUAGGUAAGUCUGAGUUUGGAAAAAGAACAAAUUCACAAGGGUGGCAGUAUGCAUGGAACAGAUGGAAAGGAGAUAAUUUCAUUACUGGAAACCUAGUGAUUCUACCCAAGUUGUGAUGCUCACUGUUAUGAAAUCAGCUGAUCCAGCUCGAGACCUAGGAAGACCAGAGGGAGGUGACUGUCCCCCUCUACUCGGCUCUUGUGAGGCCCCAUCUGGAGUACUGCAUCCAGGCCUGGGGCCCCCAGUACAGGAAGGACGUGGAGCUCUUAGAGUGGGUCCAGAGGAGGGCCACUAAGAUGAUCAGAGGGCUGGAGCACCUCUCCUUUGAGAAAAGGCUGAGGGAGCUGAGAUUGCUUAGAUUGGAGAAGAGAAGGCUCUGGGGAGACCUCAUUGUGGCCUUCCAAUACUUGAAGGGAGCAUAUAAACAGGAGGGAGAAUAGCUGUUUACAAGGGUGGAUAUGAUAGGAUGAGGGGGAAUGGUCUAAAACUGAGACAGGGGAGGUUUAGGUUAGAUAUUAGGAGGAAGUUUUUCACACAGAGGGUGGUGACGCACUGGAACAGGUUGCCCCAGAAGGUUGUGGAUGCCCCAUCCCUGGAGGCAUUCAAGGCCAGGCUGGAUGUGGCUCUGGGCAGCCUGGUCUGGUGGUUGGUAACCCUGCACGUAGCAGGGGGGUUGAAACCAGAUGAUCACUGUGGUCCUUUCCAACCCAGGCCAUUCAAUGAUUCUAUGAUAUAUCACUUACCUUUCUGUAAUUGCUGGUAAUCCCAUGAUGUCAGAAAAAGUAUCCCAGUUCUGCACUAAGGGGGUUGCCUAGGUGAAAUACUACAUGGAAGGCAGAUUUUUGAGGGAACUGUCCAUUCUCCAGGGAGAAACAACUGAAGCAUAGAUGGAUAUUUUUGCAUUUGUUCUUGUUACCUUCAUAAUUGAGAAUAAGAGCUUUUUAAAGGAAAAACAAAAUUUGUCAAAUGUUCCCAACUGCAUGUAAUAAAAGUUGGAUACAAUAAAAGAGUAGUUGUUGUUGCUUGCUCAUGGAAUGCUGGGUGUGUUCCUGUUAACAUAAGAAACACAGCAGUCUAGGGAAGGCAGGGUAAUGGAAGUUUCACACUCCCAACACUGUAUGUUUGCACAGAGCACUGAAUUGCUUUAAUACU
rnacentral:lncRNA from 1 species